ACCGCGACUGACUACGUGCGCUGAGGUCACUGCCGCUUGUCUAUCUUGACCUGUGUGUGUUCCCAUUGGCGGCUGUUCACCUAUCGUCCAAUUGGAAAGGCAAGGGGGCGGGACUUAAGGACACUGGCCCGUAACCUUGAUAAAGUUAAUGCGGGAGAGAAGUCUAUGACAAAAAGCAUUAAAGGCAUUUGAAAGGGUCAGGACCCGGACUGCGUUGCCGGUGGGGGAGCUGAGGCGCCUUUACUGUUCAGAUGCCGUCGUCUGACGUUCGCUAAUGCGAGGAUCGCGUCAGGAGGUUGGGACUCAGACAUCCUACUUAUGGUCGUUCACACAGGCUUGGGAGGACCAGCAUCCCACCCACAUGUGAAGCACACACGAGAUCGGAGGUCCCAUCCAGUUCGAGCUGCCAUCAAUCAGCUCGGGCCGAGUCCCCUGCCAGCAUUACAUCACGACAUACCUAUUCUGCUUUAAACAAGCCAGGGAAGUCAUUUGGUACUCUGGCAGUGAGGGUUGCAGCGCGUCAGGACUAAUCAGGUCUGAGCACACUGGAUAAAGAACAUUCAGAGUUGCUCAAUAUCGCGUGGUACUAAUCCCACUGCUUAAAAUCACGUUUGCAUGCUGGGGUCACUUGCAUUAAAUAACAAACAAGCACCGACUUGGAUGCAGUAAAUCAUACUGUGACCCACACUCGUUUCAUGAUCUCUGAUGAGGUCCAUAGUCGCCUGCAACUCUUCAUUUGACAGCUUAACACACAUAUCUCUGCUUUUACUAUUUUACUAGGCAACGAAAUCGGACCAAAUAAUGCAGAAUAACCAGAGUAGAGCUCUAACCUUCUAAUAUGGUGAGGUUCUUGAGGGCUGUGGAGUGCUCCCAGUCCUUUAGCCGGAGGUCCUCUGUGAUCGUAUUAAGGAUCUCCAUCUCGUUCCUUAGCUGGGCCUCUGUGUGGUCGUGGGUUACCCAUAAACUGCUGGUGUCUUCUGUUAUGUUGCUGAUCUGGAUCUGAGCAGCAGAGGAUAUGUUGAGCUCCAAUGUGCAUAUGUAAAUUACCUUUUAGGAAUAGGAAAGCUGUGAUAAACAGCCAACCUGCAAGUCCUGUAUCUUCAAGUGGUGAAUGCUGAUAUCAUUGCUAAAGGUGUGAUUGACAGCUCCCACCGUCCAAUUAACUUCGUCCAGCUUCUCUCUCAGCACGCUCACCUGUCCAGAUGUUUCCCUUAAGUCAAAAAGAGAACAUAAUUCGUGACCUUAGAGCCUUAACUUUGAUUAAACUACAAUGCAGUGCCUUUGUAAAGAGGAUCGCUCUAAUAAUCGCGGCAUACCGGAGCAGGAGGUCCUGGUUCCGGAGCCAGGUGGAGGCUCGAGCCACCUCCACACUCAGGCCUGUCAGGUUCCGGCCGGCGGAGCUGCUUAGAGUUGACAACCGGUCAUCCAGCUGCACCAGAUAGCCCUCCGACUGAAGGGAGUGAGCCUGAGCUGUCCUCAACUCCACCUCUAGACCCUGGGAAAGAACAUGAAUCUUCUGUCUGGAAGUGUUUUGUGAUCAUAACAAACACAUUGUGUUAAACAGAAACUUGUUACUGGAAAUGUUAUUAACUUUGAGUACUCUCAUGUCACUGACUCAUCAAACUCUAUUCAGGCACUGGACCAGUUCUCAGGCCUGAACCCUACUCUAUGAGCUCGCCUUCCCGGUUCAGCUUCACCUUGAGGAGAACCUCCAGCUUCUGCAGCCAGUCACUGUGGUUCUGGAAGAGGUUCUCCAGUUUCCAGAUGUUCUCAAGCAGGUCCGCCUGAGUGGUCACCUCAUCCAGGUUCUGCUUAGGCACCCGAGAAUCCUGUGGCACUCGUGUCACGUUCUCUUUCAGCACCUCCUCUCGCUUUGAAGACACCUGGGAUCGGGAAACUAGGGAAGAAAACACGAAACACAGAGUGAGAGAUUUGUUCUAAGUGAUGACUCACGGAUCCCUCGGCUAUGGCAAAAGUCCCCAAACAGAGUAUUAUUUACUAUCAAUCACUCUUGCUUGGGAGUAGCCAAAACUUUAAUGCAGAGCAGAUGCCGAUUCAGCUGCUUGCAUUCAUUCUGGAUUUCUAUUUUUACUUAAUGUAUUGUUUUGCUAAAUCUAGACCUAAAUAUUUUCAUUCCAGUCCAAAGCCAGUUACCAGUGUCGGCCAUUCUGUGAGGGUCUCUGUGCAGGUACAUUGUUUUCAGGGAUUAAUAGCCCCAAAGUGUUUUCCAAAAUAUGACACAUGGCUCCACUGCAGCAGUGCAUUUUAGUUUUACUAAUGUCUUUAACCAGGUAACAACAGCUAAAGACUCUAGGAAUAAUUUCAGAUGCCUUUCAAAAGACUAAAGGCAACUGGAGACCUCCUUUGCUCCCUGAUCAAAAACACUGCCUCUGGCAUCUUGCUGCCGCUGGGUUCUCCAGGACCUCCUCCUGUUUUUGUUUAAAAUGAGAUCUCAGCACAGCCUAAUCUUUUCAUAAGGUGGCAGGAGGGGCUGGUGUGCCAUUGGCCUGGUCUCACUGGGGUAACAACAGAGGACACGUCACAUGUUUUCCCUUGAGAAUCUGUGACGCACGCUGGGACAGCGUGUUCUGAAUUACUCACGUCUAUUUAGCUGCAGCAGCACUUUUGCCAACUGCUAACUUGGUGCCGAUGCACCACUCGUUUAGUUUUUUGGCUGUGGCGUAAAGUCUUCUCUUGCUCUUCUUGACUGUGCCUAAUGGGAAAAAUGUCCUUGGUUUUAUGUUAUGUUGAGAGCAUGUUGCAUGGUAACGGCUCGAUAGCCCUGGAGGUAUUUUGAAACCAGAUCCUCAACGUUACGCUAUGACGACAUCCCUGCUUUCUGCAGGACAGCAGGGACCAAUGCAGAAAACCUCGGAUGGAGAAAAGGGGAUUACUUGGGAAACAGGAGGAAGCAGAGAAAUCCUUGACACACCGAUUGCCUUAAUGGAAGAAUAUCUCACACACUGUGAAUGUUUCUGUCUCGAUAUUUAAAACUAUGAGGAAAGAAACAAGACUAAUGAAGAGAGAUGUCAGUGCUGCAAAACAACAUAUUCCUGUCCAUUUUGAAUGUUAGGCUUAUGCCUAAUGACCCGAAAAAAAUAAAUAAGCUGAACUCUGCACUACACGGGACAUUAACUGGUCUCUCAGCAGCGCCUUUCUGAAGAACUCACACACAUUUAGGACUGACCACAACCUGACAGCAUGGAGUUUCCCUGUGGAGCUGCAGAGCAAAAUAAAACAAGGGGAUGAUAAAGGAUGGAGCAAGAAGAGGCAUUUGAUUCCAGGAACCGGCAGAUGGUUUUUGUGACCAGGUUUAAGUCUUGAUUAUCCUGAUUACAGAAAUGUUGAAACACUUACAUUAGUAGGACAUGUGGACAAAUACAACCAGGAUCCAUACAAUCAGUGAUACUGACCGUAAGAAAAUAAUGAUGGGAACAGAAGGAAGAACAGGAGUAAAGAGGAAGACUUGGAGGAGAACAUUGGGAAGCGUCAUUCUGCUCAUAUCUAUCAACCAAAAGACAUCUUGUGAACGAUGCAUUUCAGUCGGAUAACUGUAAGGACAGUUUGAACGCUGCAGAUGGUGCAGCAGCACAGGGCUCAGUGUUGAUGGCAGCCGUGAAUGAAAUUUGUCAGUGGAGCCGCAGCGUGGUUUUGCAAGUUACAGAUGAAGAAUCGCAUUAGUGAACCGCAGGCUGUUUUGGGGAUGUGGACUCUCACAGUUCAGAACCACCAUGUGCUGCACAAACAUAUAAAAGGCAUUUAAACCUAAAAUCAUCUCUGCGCCAGAACACAUUUUCCACCGAGGGCGUCACUUCAUUUCCUCUGGUUUCACCUAAUCCACAUUAGAAAUAACUAGUUUUUGAGCUGUACAUUCAAUCAGCAAAUGCCAGAGAACACUGCGGUGACUGACUCCAGACUAAAAGCUUUUCUACAGAACGAGGCUCAUGAAGCAGUAAUAAUAAUAAUAAUAAUUGUUUUAGCUACAGAAAAAAACAGGCUCCUAAAAAUCACCUGUUAAACCAAACUGUUAAACGUACUGUACAUAUCAGAUUCAUACUCUUUAUGUCUCCAGAUCCUCCAGACAUAAAGACUUUAUUGUUUUAUCUACACCUAAAUGUCUUUUAAAUUGCAGGAGAAAGACAAACCGCCAUUAGCUGUAACUACACCUCCUGCAGUAAUUAGCCCUCAUUGUGCCAGAUGUUGAAGUUGAGUAAAGCUGGAAAGAUUCCGAAAUGCGAGUCUUUGAGUUCACACACACAGCGGCGUGAUGAUGGGAUGGCAGCAGUUCCCAAGCUUUUGGUUCCAGAUCCACAGGUGGACGGACUUUGACUUGUAGACACAGAGGAGGAUGAGGACGUGGUGUCCAAGUGUCAAGAAACCAGCUAGAGUCUACAUCACUGGUUUAGUCUUCACAUCUGUUUGCAGUAGAUUUAUAUUUUUACAGCAUUUUGUCUGCACACAUCUAAUGCACCUAAUAUAAGUUAUUACCUACAACGGCGAUCAGCGCAGCAUCCAGGGCCAUGUUUUACACCCCGAGUAGGGAGGAGAUGACAGACAGACAGUGGAAAGAACACAACCUGCUGGUAUCCUCCUUUCUGACCGUGACACCAUUCAUUGCAUAAUGUUUAUUACAUACAGUAUUAAACUGUUUAAACUGCACUUUUAGUCACUGAUAUAAAUCAACGAUACCACAUGCAUGCUUCAUUAUCUUAUCAAACAUUGCAUUUAUUGCCUAAUGGUACGUUUGAGCUCAAUCUAAUGAAGCAUAUUUUAACCAUGACUCUCUCCAUGGCUCACUGCCAAAAUGACAGCGAUAGGCAUCUUGCUGCUCUGUCCAACCUGGGCUGGACAGCGUCAUGCUCAGGGCAGAGAGGGGACAGUAGAUCCAUCAGAGCUGCAUUCCUCUGGGGUUAAAGCCAAAGACAACUUGGGGCCUUCAAUUAUCUCUUUAUCUUCAGUUUGUGUAAAGUAGGAAACUAAGUAAAGGGGGAAGUUAAAACUAGCUAGUGGCAGCAUUAGACUAAAAUCAUCCAUCAUCCAAUCCUUGCAAAAGGAAGAGUCCGACUUCAUGAGGAACUUGACAUCACAUUUUUAUCUUCUUUGUGUCUUUUAGGUUUACAUUUUAACCAAGGUUAAAAUUUGCCCUGUUUGUUUGUAUUUAAUGAUGUUGAAGUGACUAAAUGUCUUCUACUACUAACACAACAGGAACAAUUCAUGAAAGUUCAAACAUCCUGCAGAGUUCUGCCUUCCGGUCCUGCACCAUGGUUACUAAUCUCCACAAUUAGCUCUCAGCUCACAGGCCUUAAAAUGAAGUUACUUAUUACAGUGUCUGCUCCCAAGGACAGCAAUUAGCUUCAUUUAGCUUCAAAAGGUCACCGUCACUACAGGCAGUCCACAGACUGACUGACUACGAGUCCACAUACCUGCUCUAUAAAUAAUAAGUCAAAUGUGCAGCUAAAUAAAGAUAAUACAUGAAAAGAGCAGACUCUGGGUCUGUAGAACUCCAGUGCUGUAGAGUUAAACACAACAUUGCUGAAGUAGACUGCAAUAUUAUUUCCAAAUGUUUACUGAAUACAUCACAAAGACAAAGAAGUCUCAAGAUGCAUGUUUGUUUAUACAGGGAGUCAAUUACAGUACUUGUGGCAGUAAUAGUACACAAACUACUACUGUAUAUUAUUCCACUGUAGAUGAUUGAUUGUCACCUUAAGGGUCUUUUUUAAACAAUGAUAACUUUGAAUUGUUGGUCAGGCAGCUUUGUGUGUGGUAGUCUUUGAACAAAUGGAGCGUUUGAUGAGAUGCGAAUCAGCCUCAGCCUCACCACAAGUGUAGCCAUCAGCUGGCCUCAAGAUAAAUCAGCUGUUGCAAACCUUUUUGAUUAUGCGUGUCCAUCAUCUGGACCAAAGCAAGAACAUAAACCCAUUCUCUGACUGUGCAGUUAAUGGUUUAACCACUGAAACACCUCAGUGCAGAAGCAUCAUUUGGAAAAUGGCGAUUGCCCACAGAUUUACAUCGCAGGACCUCCAUGAAACAGAGAGACAUGUUCAUGAUGGCACCUCAGCCUCCACCGCCUGAAAGGAAACUCUAACUUUAGUAUGAAGUAGCCGCUUUACUUCAAUCACAGCAUCUAGUUGGAGUCAAGCUUUGGCAAACACAUUACUUGUUGCUUGUUUUGCUAGCGUACUUGUAGCUACUAGCAUAGACAGUACUGCUCGGGCUGCAGUAGUUCAGCAGUUACUGCUAGAUGGCUGACAUGAUGUUUUAGGGACGUCUGUACUGGGAAAAGACUGAAAUAACCAGCUCAAAAUGCAAACGUGAUACAGCGAAGGUGUAUACUGGUAAUUCACCACACAGACAUGAAAGAGUGAAAUAUUUACCAGCUGGUUCUCUGUUAGAGUUAGACAGUUUUUCCAAAUGCGUUGCUAAACACAUCACUAGCUGUUCUCCAGUUUAGUCUGAGUUACAAACAGACUGUGCAUCUGUCACAACACGCUGUGUUUCUAUUGUUUGUGUGCAAGUGAGAGAAAGCAGCCCCCUUCAAGCAGACAGCCCCACCAACAUCCUAUUUGACUUUGAGGGGAUGCCAGCAGCAGGAAGGAGGGAAGGAAGGGAUAAAGAGUCUUUCUCUGAAACGCGGAAGGCCAAAGUCUGAGAAUGAAAUUACUCCAUCUUAAAAGCGGCGAGGCGGCGGCCUGCUUCACAGCAAAGGUUAAGCUCUUGUAACUCGCUGUUAAAGGUUGGGUUUACACCCAGAGUCGAGCGCAGAUACAAGGAACUGGCUCAGAGAUGAAACCUGCAGGUUUAAACUGGAUGGAGUGCCUCACAAUGGGCAGACCCAGUCAAACUCUCAGAGCCCAUGGCUGAGCGUGAACAACAGGUCCAGUCUGUGUUUACAGUGCUCCCCGUCUGUGAACUGUACAGAGAAAAGCAGGUACAACAAAGACGAGGAGCCACGCUAUUAUUUCUGUUUCCAGCCCACGAGCAGCCGACUACAACUGCAGCAUGCGUUUUGAAUUAUGGGUUCAUCCCAGAUCAAGCACGGGACAGGUUUCCAGGGAAAAGAAGCUCAGGCUUUUUAUCUGGACAGAAAUUUGAGUGAAAUUGGUUUCAAGAGUGAAAUGCUGCUAUACAGAAACCACCUGUGGAGGUUUUUCCCCAUGGCUGAAGUCAUGUGGUCGUUUUCUGGCCAACGUGUUGUAGGUGUUACUGAAAGUGUGUCAUGUUUGCAGCUGUGUCUCCUGAGGCGUGCAUACAUGUGAUGAGCCAGAAUGACCCCCCCUCUACCCCGGGUUUGACUGUUCUAAUUUGUAUAAUCAUGUUCAACACACCCCAGAAAUUAAAAUCCUACAAGAGCCACGUCUGUUACAAAGCAGGGAGGGUGACAUGUGACUGGUUUGAGCCAAGAAGCUGUCAGAGCGGGUUAGAGCGAGGCCCUUUAUCGCCCACAAGCAGCAAGUAAACACUCAAACUCCUCCGUGUUCACACAUCGACAUCUUCUCAUGACAUCUUUAUGGAGCAGUGCUUCCACCAGUGGGUUUUGUGACCAGCUGGUGGAGGCAGAUGGCUGCCACCCUGCGUCUGCUGCAGCUCUGCUCUGCUACAGGGGAGCUGUUCCUGCAUCUGACCUUCACAUCAGAUUUAUAUCAGGCAACACAUUCUGCACAGCUAAUUGAUCAGUGCUCAAGUCUGUUGUGCAAACAAGUCUGCAAUCAGCCACAUACCAGGCUCCACUACACGAACCAGAAGCCACAGCACACACUGUAGCUGCACCGAGAAUGUGCUCCGAUUGUUUCUGCAAGAUAAAAACGGGCUGAGUGGAGAAACGAACGCUGCACAGGCAGAUGAAGUUCUGGGGUCUCUCACAAAGGUUGAUUUACAUUUAAAGUGGAUGAAGGGGUCCGAACCGUCGAGGCCUUGAGUUUGGUUUCUAACAGACGCGGGAACUUCCUCUUCUGUAAUUUGACCUGAUGUUCCUCCUUCCAUUCAUUCAUGUUUGCGUAGCUGCUGCGCCGCGGCGUCUCGCGGGCAGCACCGCGUGUUGGUCCAGCAGCUGUAACUCUGCUGCAGGAAUGUCCGAGUGACGCGACAAUGGCCGCAGAAGCCAGGUUUGGUGGCGCUCACUUCAAAGCGAGGCUCUCGCUGUGAGGGGCCGAAUUACGUCUGUGUGUUUCUACAAAGCCAGUACCUGAUUCCGCCUCCUGAUGGGGCGGCUGUGCCUGUCCGGGAGAGACUGCAGGAAUUUAAAUGCUCUGACCCCAUCAGCUGACUAGUGGCAUUCUUCUCCCUGAUAGACAGUGAUCAGAGCAGUAAGCAAGCGUACGUACGUUUGUUAAUGUCAGACUACAGCCAGACACGUUGAACCCCUCCCACGUCGGCCGCCGCUCAUAACUUUGGGAUGAAUGUUUCUUUGUACUUCACAGAGCUCCAGCCCCACAAUUAGCUGAACCAACUCCCCUUCAUUGUGUGCGUGUGCCUGCCCUCCGUCUCUGGGAUCUGUUGUUGUUUAAUUCCUCUGCUAGUAAAACAGCAAAAAGCCAUUUAGAGGCCUUGUUUGGGCGCCUGCUAUUAUGUUCUUGAAAUCCCCAGAACUUUGCCCUCAUCCCCUGCAGAUUUAUAAAACCACCGUAGCGGUUUAUGGAGCGCUGCAUCACUGAGGCCUGCUGCUUUUAUUUGUUAUUUACACACUGCAUGUCCACUUUGCUGCCUCACAGGACCUCCUUUAGCUUCAAGCUGAGAAAAAUGUGUGAAGACCUCUUCCAUCACACUCUGUGGUUGUGAUGAUGCAAUUAGUUUCCCAAACGCAAGAGAAACAAUUAAGAGAAGAGCAUGAGAGAGGAGCGGGACUUUCUGGCACAAAAACAAAUGCCACUUAGUUAUUAUGACGUCUGCUGGAUUAAAAA